GUCAGAAUGCCGCGUAACUGUAUUUCCACCAAGGGAUUACUUUUCAUUAUUCAACUUUAUGUGUUUUUGUGAGUGUUAGAUGUGUACGGAGAGCAUACAAGUUCAGGACACUAUCUGACAUUUUGCUAUGCUUGGGCAAUUGGCUGGUUAACAGGAGUGGUUACACUGGCCAAUCAGAUUUAAGCACCAUUUUGGCUUCUGCUAUUAGAAGCUGCGCGGAGACGUCCCUGAGCAGAGCGAGGAGUUGGGCCGAGCGAACUGGCUUCCAUUUUAUGCCAUGGAACUGAACGGCCAUUCUUGCCUUCCUUUGUUCCAAAAGGAAUCUUUUCUCGAAUUCUUGCAUCUCCUUCUGGAAUAUAUGUGAAUGUGUUUACAAUGGUAGCGUCAAGGAUCUCAGAAGGACGACAAAUAGCUGGAUGCACCUCUUUGAUCAUUUAUUUUUUUCCCUCUCUCUUCCUGGAAUCCAUCUUUGUCUUAACUAGGUCACGGCACACCCAUGUGUCAGAAUUUUAUCUUCGAAGUAAAAGCUUGUGAAUAAACAGCUCGAAUGUAUUUUAAAAGAUAAUAAUAAUAAAUAAUGUAACAAAUCUAUUGGCAUCAUUGACACAACAGUUAAGUGGCCAAGUAUGACUAUAGCUAUAUGUAAGUUUUAAUUGAAAUUGAAUUAAAAAAUGCAUACAGCUGUAAGCUUUUGUUCAACCUAGUUUCAUUUUCUGUCUAUUGUAACUAUGAGUUCGGUGGUCAUUUCUAAACAACUCCAACAUUCAUUUAUGUGACUAUUCGUUUUUCUUUUCGUGUCAUUUGCAUGACAUUUUCUCUCCACUUAAGGCUCCUCAUAUUUCAGAAAACAAAACAGACAGGAUGAAAAGCCCAGUUGGCCUUUUAAAAAAAUGCUGAUUCACUGUUGUGGCUGGUAAGUGUAGCUGUAAAGCCUAACCCACUCCUUUUUUAAGAAGUACAGAUACCUAGACACUAUCGAGCAGAACAGUUUGAUUACAUAGAUGGGAAUACAUUAUUCAAUAAUGGAAUGGCUUCUAAAAUGUAGUGUAAUAAAUGUAUAUACAAUAACAGGUUUAUGGUAUAUGUACACACUGACAUUUUGCUUUAGGAUGAAUACUACAAAGGCCUACACGCUGAAGAAAAAGGAACUUUGUCUCUCUCAUCUUCGGAUCCAUUAUUACGGGGUGUGCGUUUUAAGGUGGGUGGGGAUGACUCUCCUAAAAAACAAGAGAUUGAAAAAUAACUUCUCGUGAGAUCAUUUAAAACGUACGCAACCCGAACGUCCCUGACCACCAAAACAAUGCAGAAAAUCUCCAAGCAGUAUUUGUGAGAGCAGUAAUAUGCAAACGUGCUUCCCCCCUUCCUGGUGGCAGGCAAAGCUGGAGUCAAACGCGUAACGUUCAUCAUUGCAAAGAUAGCAAGGCAAACAAUUGCGCGUCUUUUUAAGAUAUGAUAUGGACAUCUGAUUCCAUUUAAGGUAAUUCAUUUAUGUGUUGGCUAAAUGGUUAUGUCCAAGUAAAAAGUAGUGUGAAAAUGUCAGUCUCAGGAUUAUUAACUUGUUCUGCCUUUAAAUGAUUCUGAUUUUUUCUUUGUAUUUCCCCCUUUUUAAACAAUUAAGCGUUUUGUUACCCCUAAAGUUAAACACAAAAGCCAUACAUGUGUUUAGAAAUAUUUUACAACAUGUUAAUUUAAAAUGUUAACUUAAAAUGUCACCAGAUAUUAAAAACUUACAAUAUUAAGAAAAUGCAAUCCGUGUGUCAGGAGAUGCCCUAUUUAUGAUAACAAAAGCAGCGCAUUUUUGGGGUUUGCAGACAUGUCUCCCUGUUCCUCUUUUCUCAAAAGCGACCUGAUUUAUCAACUGUGUUAAUGGCUUCUAUGCAGUUCUCAUUUUCAAAAUGGCUUCUUCUUACGCAGCAGGUCAUAAUGUGCUGGAAAUGUUGCUGGGCGAGGUUUUCACUCUGGAAAGAAGAGCUCUGAAUUCCCCACAUAUUUACAAUGUCUUUCUCUCCCCUCUCUCUUUUCAUAUUCAUCAGCAGUAUCAGUGGCGACCGGGAUGAGGUCUACAACUACGUGUAAUUUCGUGGUGAUGUAGCAACCGACAUUUCGUGGCGCAGUCAGUCAAUCCCCUCGCGGAGCAGUGGGUGUAGUUGCUGACGGCUUAGAAACCGGUUUGGUAUUCAGAAGAGUAAUCGGAGAAUCUGGCCUCUCGCCAGCCGUUCAGGGCGUUUUGGGCUGACUGCUCACCACAGCCAUAUACGGGCGGAAAAACAAUUUCGAGCUGGCAGGUCAGCGUCUUCACAAAAGGGGAAUUUACGGACUGCUGUUUACGCGUUUUCUGCCAGUCUUUCGAGAGAAUCAUCGAUGAAAAGAUUCGACGUAUUCUUGAAUAAGUAAUUUUCUGUAUAGUAACCCAACCACAUUAGAUUAGUAUCUUGGUUGUGUGUAUGUGUGUGUUUAGGCAAUAACGGCCUCGAGUGAUUUCCAGGCAGUUACGCGAUUAGGCAAUUCGCUCGCCAGUAAAUACAGUGCGUGCGAUAAUGUAAUAUAGCCGGUAUGUAACGCUUAUAACAUUGUGUUCUUGUCCAUCAGGCGUUGCAGGGGUACAAUUGAGUGGCCAAUAACGUAUGCGUUUUAUUUUACAGUUUUGAAAAAUCAAAAAUUGUAUUAAAAUAAGUUUAUAAAAUGUGCUUUAGGGCUGGAGAGCAGCUGAAAUUUGCCCUUUUCUUUCAGAGUCGCUCAAUUACAAUGUGGGUCUGGCGCAUUUCCUGGUGCGCAGCAUGAUCUGUGCUGCGCUGCGCUCCUACACUCCGAACGAAUACCACAGCGGGCCACAGAGCGUUAUCGAGUGGAAUUAUAUUUAACCAAACUGCCCUUCACCUGGAAGACACAUUGUAGCCAGACAGUGUUGGUCAAUGUACGCGCGCUCCACCAUGGACGUUUUUAAGCUUCGACGAACGACCUUGAAAUGUGUUCCACCCCCCCAGCUGCCUCGCCUUUACUUGCGACAGCGGGUCACGAGGUCAGAGGUGUUUACGCGUUCUUUGGCUUCUUUGUGUCGGUGAUUUUUCUACUGCGCUGUGCACUGAAAACGUUUUCAGGCCGAAUGUUUCCCAAGCAGGGCUUAUCCGCGGGAAUGGCUAUUUAUUAUUAUUAUUAUUAUUAUUAUUAUUAUUAUUAUUAGUAGUAGUAGUAGUAGUAGUAUUUAAGAGCUGUCUCGACUGUAAAUCCUAUACAUUUGAAUCAGCGAUUAGACAUGGGGAAUUGUACAAGCUUUUGAAAAAAUAUGGUGGUUAAAUCAACUAUGGAAAUUACUGCAAUAUCGAACCAAAAAUGGGAAACCAAAUCAUUUUUCCAUAUGCCUUUUCACUGUCCUGUUUGUCAACGGUAGGCUCGCUGCUAUACAAAAGAGUGAUAACGUGACUUUCCGUAUGGCUUAUACACUGGGCAGUGCGGACCAUUCCAGAUAAAACGCGGCCCUUGUGUAUGCUGUGGUGAAGCGUCUGUGCAGUCGGCUAACCGUGGUUCGUCAUUCGGUACGCGUACAAUUAUCUAGUGUGCCACUGACGAUGUCCUCAGGCGAGUGGUAUGUUUGCCAAAUAUUUUUCCUUUAUCUGUUCAUAGUCAGUUCAAUGGUCUGACGUUGUUUAAAUAAAUCCUGAUUAAGACAACAGUAUAUGUGUGUGUGUUCUUUUAACCGCGUUCGACCACCGGGAAGACUAGACGAGCAUUCUCCCUGAUGUUAAUUUCGUUUCGACGAACGGGCCCAUUCUCCACAUGGCCCUACUUGGACCCAGUUAUGUCGGGGAAAUGGGAAAGAUUUCAAUCACGUGUGUUUUUGUCGUUUAAAGUGAUAAUGGACGAAAGAGGCAGUUCAUUUGUCUCCAACGGAAACCAACUGGAAUAUACACACAGAUAUGCACGUAGCCUGUUCCCAUAGAACAGGCUGUACUUUGCACAUUGGCACCCAAAGGUCAGUCACUUUGGCCGAGGAGCUCCCGUCAUCCUCAUCGGCUACAAGACAGACCUGCGCAAAAACAAAGAGAGAAGCAGGAAACCAAGGGCCAUGAAUCUGGUACCUACAAUAUACACACAGGUACAUAUAACUAUCAGCCACACACAGGUAAACACACAUACACACAUACACAGACACACAAAAACACACAGGCCUAUCACCUGUGGAAAGGUGGUCUUGUGGCCUAAACACAGGAAUGAUCCUCUAUCACCUACACCUAUCACAGCUACACAGGUACUGUUUUAGGAUCACUAAGCAUGGGUCUUUGGUCUCUGGCUUGGGCUUUGACAUAAGCUUUGACCUGCACUGGUCUGGUGUGAUCCAUAUUUGUCCAGUUUUGUCUGUGCUGGUCUGAAUUUGUCUGGUCACAUCUGCACUAGUCUGUGCUGAUCUGGCGCUGGUCUGGUACCUGCAUGUGUUGGUCUGUACUGGAUUGUUAAUGGUGUGUGGUUAUCUGUACUGGACUGUGCUGAUCCGCGCUAGUCUCUGUCGUUUCAGAAAAUGAGACAGGUAAAAUGGUAUAGACCUGUAUCUGCAGUGUCUGGCAAGGUGCCCAGAGGGACUGUGGAGGACUUAAAGAGAAGCCAACCAACAACCCCCGACCUCCAACUGCAGGCCUAGACAUGCCUGGAAGAGGAAGUGGGUGUGUUCCAUCCUGGGGCAAGAUGAAGAGGAAGAGGGUGUUUUUCGAUUCCCAUGUUUGAGUAUUGGAUGGUGAAAGUGCUGCCUGCACCUUCAAUGCCAGCAUGUUUUGUUUGGCAGAAGCGUGUGCAGUCCUGUGAUUGGCUCAGGUUGCAGUGCUCCUGCAUACCGACUGGCUCAGUUUAAAGACUCUUUAAGGUUGACAGUACACCAAGACAGCAAUAGCCAGACUUUCUUAGGCAAAGGAGACUCUCUUCUUGCAUAGGGUUGCCAGAUUCCCAUUUUUUGAUCGGAAUGUCAAGUUUUCAGAUUUGGUUUGUGGUCCUCAAUGGAUAAUAUAUUGUCUGAUCUGAGUAAUUAUUUAAGAACAAAUUGCCUUUAGUUUGUAAUAAAUUACGAGUCUCCAUUAUCCCCGUGUCGUUCGUGAUUAAGCUUCUGGGUGUGCAUGUACGUUGUCCGGUUUUCACAAUUCUAAAUCUGGCAACCCUAUUCCUGCAGCUGCCACGUCUGUCAAAGGUCAAAUGUCUUUUUCCCUGGGAUUUUCAGGAAAAAUGGGUCCAACUAAUUUACUCCUGGACUUCCAAUUUUACACUGGUUUAAAUGAACAGUCUUUACUGAAAAAAGGAGACAUUUGUGAUGUUAAAAGCAUGUAAAUUGUCCGACUUUCAAUGUGAUUUUACAUUGCAUAAAGUAUUUCACCAUUGAGCAAAUGUAAAUAAUGUACCUAAUGGAAGAUAUGGUAAUAUUAUGUUUUUAGAAAUACAUGUUGCAUUUUAGCAUACUAAAAUGUAUUCCUAUAUAUAUAUAUAACCUAAUGUUUUUGAUAUAUUGAUUUUAUAAAUGUGUGCAGCAGCUGAAAAAGCAAUGAUUCCUGACAGAACACAUGCCACCAGCAUGUCCGUUCUUGUGGAACUCUACAGAUCAAGAUUUUUUAAAUAAAAAAAACUUACUCAAGCAUACAUCUCCACCUCAGAGUUAAGGUAAUGUGAAGGUACACUUUAUAUUCUACGGAGUAUAUCAAGUCUGAUACAUAACAUUAUGCUCAGUGUACAUUAUUUUAUUUGGCAUUUGUUUUAAUAUCCUGUCCUGCAUGUGAUUAAUAAGAAUGAUAUAUUUGUUAUAAGUUCUCCUCCAGUUCUGUUGAAAUCAAUAGUGUCUUAUAUGGUGAUCGCAGAAUUAUCUAAAUCUCUUAAAAUGUUUCAAGAUAUUAAUGAUCCAGUAACAUAUACUGUAUAUUGAGUAAAAGAGCAAUAAAAUGAACCCUGA